AGCCACAUUUUUUGAAAGGUACAUUGUAGAAAGGUGUAUCGUCUAUAUCUUUGUUUUUCAUGUCAUUCCAGUACGUUCUCGCACUUUGUGCGGUGCACGCUUCCGUUCGUUAACUUCUUCUCGCCUUUCUCCUCUUUAUGGCUGCAUGCUUUUUUGACUGCGUGAGAACGGAGAAUGCUGGGCCACAGUAGGUAGAGCCACGCAGGGAAAGGUGGUCGGGAAAAUGCUUUUUGAACUAGCGAGGCUGCCGAUACCGAUACCGAGACCACGCACUACUGCGGGUACCCAUCAGAAAUUGCCAAAAAUUGCAAGAGUUUCUAGUAGUUUGGAGUGGAUAAUGGAGAAUUUUGUAUGACCUAAGGAUGAAAUUAUUUUCUACCAUUUACAGCUGGUUCCUAUCCAUACUUAUAGGUAUUAUUUAUAGCAUAAACUGAUUAAUAAUGCUAUUUCGUUGUAUGUGAAUAGAUAACAAAGGUUUUCCCAAGCCUUUUCCCAUGAGUAAAUAGCCAAGAACUGAUCUACUGUAGUCAAACCUUGUCCCAUCGCCAUGUAUCGCCAGCAAACGUUUGUAAAAGUACCAUUAUAUUAUCCUGUGGAGGUACGUAGAGGGUCCGGCUCCUGUCGUGGAAGAAGCCUGUUACACACGUUCAAGCGCUCAAUGCCCGACACGUUUCGAGCUUUGGGGCGUGCCCGGCUGGGCCGGGGCGGUCCUGCCUGUCGCUCCGGUUCGCUCCGUUGACUGCGAAUACAUACCGUUCGUACCUACAUAUAGAUGUACAUAUUUUUGUGUUCCUAGUGUCAUAAAUAUUCUUUGCCGCGGCUUUAUUU